UGCUCCGGUGCCGCGGGCUGUCUCCCCCAAGAAACACGAGGGUGAAAGGACCCCCACCAAACCCCACCCCUCCUCCCGCUCCUCCCGCCCGCGACGGCAAACUCACCCACUCGGGUGAACAUCACCAACUCGGCUGGAUUCGGGCACGGUUGCCUGCCCUACGCUCGGCGCAACACAACCGCAGACAUUCAACGGCCCUCGCCGGGACGGCAAUCCCAGUGCGAGGGCCUGACCACCAAGGAAGUAGCACCUUCCCG
rnacentral:ncRNA from 1 species